rnacentral:rRNA from 1 species
GACGAACGCUGGCGGCGUGCUUAACACAUGCAAGUCGAACGGAAAGGCCCUGCUUUUGUGGGGUGCUCGAGUGGCGAACGGGUGAGUAACACGUGAGUAACCUGCCCUUGGCUUUGGGAUAACUUCAGGAAACUGGGGCUAAUACCGGAUAGGAGCUCCUGCUGCAUGGUGGGGGUUGGAAAGUUUCGGCGGUUGGGGAUGGACUCGCGGCUUAUCAGCUUGUUGGUGGGGUAGUGGCUUACCAAGGCUUUGACGGGUAGCCGGACUGAGAGGGUGACCGGCCACAUUGGGACUGAGAUACGGCCCAGACUCAUACGGGAGGCAGCGGUGGGAAAUAUUGCACAAUGGGCGGAAGCCUGAUGCAGCAACGCCGGGUGCGGGAUGACGGCCUUCGGGUUGUAAACCGCUUUCGCCUGUGACGAAGAGUGAGUGACGGUAAUGGGUAAAGAAGCACCGGCUAACUACGUG